AGAUUGAACGCUGGCGGCAUGCCUUACACAUGCAAGUCGAACGGCAGCACGGGAGCAAUCCUGGUGGCGAGUGGCGAACGGGUGAGUAAUAUAUCGGAACGUGCCCAGUCGUGGGGGAUAACGCAGCGAAAGCUGUGCUAAUACCGCAUACGAUCUAUGGAUGAAAGCGGGGGAUCGCAAGACCUCGCGCGAUUGGAGCGGCCGAUAUCAGAUUAGCUAGUUGGUGGGGUAAAAGCCUACCAAGGCGACGAUCUGUAGCUGGUCUGAGAGGACGACCAGCCACACUGGAACUGAGACACGGUCCAGACUCCUACGGGAGCAGCAGUGGGGAAUUUGGACAAUGGGCGCAAGCCUGAUCCAGCAAUGCCGCGUGCAGGAUGGAAAGGCCGUUCGGGGUUAG
rnacentral:rRNA from 1 species